GUGGAAUCUUGCAUAUAGGAAAGGGUGCUUGGGCCACAUCAAGUAUCUACUCAAGAAAAGUUUGAUGAAAUUGCCAGUCUUUGGCUGGGGAUUCUAUGUGUUAGAAUUCAUUCCACUGGAGAGAGACUGGAUAGUAGAUGAACCGGUGAUAAAAGAAACACUUUCGACUUUUACCAAUCCUCAGGAUCCAUUGUGGCUAACUGUUUUCCCUGAAGGAACAGAUUAUAGUG
rnacentral:misc_RNA from 1 species